CUACAAGACCUAACAAGUGUUCACGUAUGAGAAGAAAAACACAAGAAACAAUGCACUUUUCUAUUUUUCCUUUUUUUAUUGAGGUUAACAAGAAAUGUUACUAACAUCUCUUUUCUUCGUUAGAAUCAUAAAGCAUAAAUUCGACUGUCUAACAAAUGUUUGUCCUUUACAUAAUCAAACAAAUAGAUCUGAUUUUUCUUUUCCCCCUUUAAUGGUAAAACACCAAAAAUACAAUGUUCAACAAGAAUGUCAUAUAUAGGAGAUAGUAGAUAUGAUACUACCAUAAAGUUUUCCUCAUAAUAAAAAAAGAAAGAUAGUACCAUAAACUAGAAAGCAUGAAAAAAAUAAUUAGCUGUCACUUCAAAUACUUACUAGAAACCCUAAUUGUGAGAGAAACUUGAAUACGAAGAGCAUUUUAAGCCCUCUCAAUCUAAUUAUUUCAACACAAAUUUCUUAUCUUAUUUCAGACUAUAAACAUGCAGCGAAGGGGAAAAAUAUAUAAGACCGCCUGUUGCUUUCGCAUUCAAAUGAAAAAUAAAAAUGUAAGGACUCGCAGGCCUAAAUGAGGUGAAGGUUAGUAGGGUCUUCUCGUGGGUUGCUCAAAAAACAAAAAGAAAAAAGAACAAAACUAAGGUGGUUCAUAGGAGGAGGCUUGCAGGUUUACUUUCCAUGUCAAUUGCCC
rnacentral:lncRNA from 1 species